GAACUCCAAUGGCAUCUGUGUCAUCACGCUCACACCAGGCCACAACAAUGGCCGCUGCCAAUGUCCCAGUCCCUGGAGAGGUCUCACCCCUCACCGAGAUGCACUCAGGGCCUAUUAGGCAUUUUCAAAGAAAAUACACAUACAAGAAAUAACACUAUAACUUUCAAGAAAGUUUGGAUUGGGAAUGACAUAGCAAAAUGGCCAAACAAGACAUCCUUAGCUCAUAUCUCCCUCAUCAAAAAUUUGCCAUCCAUCAAUGGACAUAAAUACUUUUGUGGGAGCUGUGGGAUCCAGCACCAUACUCCAAGGGACCCGGGAGGAGUCUCGCCCACCCGAGCAUCAGAUAACAGGCAUACAGACCUGGGUCCCAGCUAUGGACCGUGGAAUGGCCUAUGAACUGGCUCCAGCCCCACUCAGCCAUGGUCUGGGAGCCCCUGGAAAACACUGACUUAAAAAAAUCACCCACAGAUGAGAGAGCUUGGGGAAGCCCAGGAUUCCAGCAGAGAAGUUCCAGCACAUCGUUAGAGCAAAAAAAUCGAAGAUUGGACACAUUGGAGAGUGUAAGAGGAAAACUGUGGUAUUACGCGUGUCUCCUCUGUCACCAAAGUGGCACAGCUCAGUGCCAAUAAAUCCCUUCUUGGUCCUUGAUUUCUCCCGUGCGGGAAAGUGAAAGUGUGUGAAUGGGUGCCCAGCUUCCCAAGCUGUGUGAGAUGCAGCCAAAAAGGUCCAUUUCUCUUUCCUCCCAUCUAAAGUACUGAGUCAUGACCUACACAACUGGGGGACAGUUAGCAGCUGGGAGAAUAGCAGCCAGGGCUCACAAGGUAUCAAAGGGAUGCAGAUCCUAUCAACCACAUCACAGACUCCAUCAGGAGGCCAGCCCUUGAGCUGCCAGGAUGUCUUAUCAGUGGCUCCCCCCAACUGGCCUACAGGCACCCCUAGGGCUCUGCUCACCUCACCUACACAUGCCCCAACUACCUUGUGGCAGGCUCCUUGUGCGCAGUCCCAGUGGCGGUGAGAGGGAGCACUUGGGCAGAUGGCAAAUGAGCACACAGAGAAAGCCAGCCCAAACCUGUAAACCAAGGAGACCACAAACUUGAGCAUUUAGUAGGAAGGCAAAAAGGAGACUGUUAGCCCUCAGACUGGCGUGUUGCUGGAUGGAGAAGGUGUACAAUCUUAAGAAUUCUGCCACAAGAGGGAGCAAGAAGAGUGGAGCAGACAUCUCCGUAGAAGGUCUGAGAAAGCCUCAGAAUCUGGAGCAGAGCUGACAGAAGGUAAUUCUCUCCCAAAGUCAGUCAAUACAGACUGGAGGAGGUGACCGCUACUUCACAUGCCAAGACAGCAACACAAGACUUCAAGGAACAUGAAAAAUCAAGGAAACGCGAUGCCACCAAAGGAUCACAAUAAUCUUCUAGUAACUGACCCCAAAGACAUGCAGGUCUCCAGUUCCCCUGAUAGAGAAUCCAAAAGAGCUGUUUUGAGGAAGCACAGUGAACUAUAAGAAAACACAGAAAGACAAUGCAACAAAAACAGGAAAACAAUACAUGAACAAAAUGAGAAGUUUAACAAAGAGAUAGAAGUCACAAAAAAGAACCAAAAAGAAAUUCUGAAGCUAAAGAAUACAAUAAAUGAAAAGAAAAAUGGAAUAGAGAGCAUCAACAUCAGAUGGAUCAAUCAGAAGAAAGAAUCUGUGAAGUAAAGACACCUUUGAAAUUAUCCAGUCAGAGGAUAAUAACAACAACAAAAAAUGAAAAUAGUGAACAAAUCCUACGUGAAUGUGGAAUACCAUCAAGAGAAGCAAGCUACAAAGUAUUGGAGUCCUAGGAGGAGAACAGAAGCAGAAGGGAGCAGAGAGUUUAUUUAAAGAAAUAGUGGCUGAGAACUUCCCAAGUCCCAGGAGAGAUUUGGCCAUCCAGGUUCAUGAAGCUCAUAGGUCUCCAAACAAAUUCAACUUAAAAAGAUCUUCUCCAAGACACAUUGUAAUAAAACUGUCCAAAAUCAAAGACAGAGAAUCUUAAAAGCAACAAGAGAAAAGAAGCUUAUCACUUACAAGAUAAGCUUACUCCCUCUCCCAUAAGGCUAUCAGCAGAAACCUUACAGGCCAGGAGAGAGUGGGAUGAUAUAGUAAAAGUGUGGAAAGAAAACAAACCCUGUCAAUCAAGAAUACUUUGUGUGGCAAAGUUGUUCUUCAGAAAUGAAGGCAAGAUAAAGAUGUUCCCAGACAAACAAAAGCUGACGGGCUUCAUCACCACUAGAUUUGCCUUACAAAAAAUACCGACAAGAGUUCUCCAAGCUAAAAUGAAAGGACAGUAAUUAGUAACAUAAAAACAUGAAAAUAUACAACACACUGCUAAAGGCCUGACUUCAGAAGCACAGAGAGUUGGAAAGGAAACAUGAACAUGUAGUGGGAGAGAACAAGGAAAUUUGAAACUUGUAAUACAAAGCUGGAACCUGUGUUGGUCUCUCACUGCCUCUAAGCUGCCAAUGUUGGUGAUACAGAUGACCUGCAGGAGAAGUUGGAUACUUUCAUCAUGAACUAAUUAUGCACCUGGUCCAGGAGUUGGAGAAGCCAAAGGAGGAGAUGAGGGUUCUUGGAGGAGCUAUGGACACAGAUGUUGUUGCAAACCAACAGAGUGAGCUCGCAUUUCAGCAAAAUUUUAUGAGCAACAACAGGAUCUGGUGACUGUACCUACCUUCCUAAUAUGGUUGCUGCUUCACUUCUGUCUUCUAAAGCUCAUGCAAGUUCACUUGGCACAGGUUCACCAAGAACAAUAUAUGGAAGGGAAUUCUUUGAGAAGAAACAUUUACCUAAAAGUUUCUCAGAAUGUAAGUAGCUAUCAAAUGAUCUUGUUCAUUGAUAACAUUCUGACAAGAAGGAUAAGGGAUAGGAAGCAAUGUUAAAAUCCCAAAUUGUGACAUGGUUUGUAAGGGUAGUGUGACCACAAGUCAGAUGCCAGACUGCUGUAAUCCUUAGGCUUUUGAUCCUGUCCACCGAUCACAAUUGAGUGUCUUGAUAUCCACCAGUGUGCUUCUCCUAUCCCAGCUUCCAGAAUCAACUUUAACCUAAGGCACUCGGUUCUUAAUUCUUUCCAGAUCAGCAGUCCUUGAGAAGUCCUGCACUAAAUCUCUACCCAAAUAAUGAUGAUCGUGAUUAAUGGAAUCAAGUAGAUUUUCUUCUCUUGAGUAGAAUAAGAUAUAAGUUAGUCAUUUACUUAAUUUUUAAUGGAGAAAGAAGCUAAAAGUCACAAAGAGAAUGCAAUGAGAAAGCAAUAGAAGCCUUGAACAAGUGGAAUCCGUUAGUAAACAGAAAUAAUGAGAAAGCAGAAGAUUUAGGAAGGGAGAAUACUCUUGAUUGUUAACUGUAAUUCAUAGAUUAUCUGCUAAGCAACUAUUGCUUUUAUCUGCGUGUUUAGAGCAGAAGGUACAUGUAUCACGAAUAGGCAUUACAAACAAAUGGCUAAUUUAAGGCUUUGUGAAUCUUUGGGGUCUCAUGUGUUUUAUGAGUGCUUGAUGCAUACCCGGCUCUUUUAUUCUUCACUAUGUUCAGCAUGCAUAUAAGGUACUUAUUUUAACUUUUUCUAGUAUAUUUUAUAAGCUGUUUUAUUCUAUUCAUUGUGUCUCCUAUUUUCUAUUGUAGAAUUGAAUAGUCUUUAAAUAAUA